rnacentral:rRNA from 1 species
UACAGAGGGUGCGAGCGUUAAUCGGAUUUACUGGGUGUAAAGGGCGCGUAGGCGGCGUGAUGUGUGCGGUGUGAAAGCCCCGGGCUUAACCUGGGAAGCGCACUGCAGACUGUCGUGCUGGAGUACAUGAGAGGGUGGCGGAAUUUCCGGUGUAGCGGUGAAAUGCGUAGAGAUCGGAAGGAACGUCAAUGGCGAAGGCAGCCACCUGGCAUGAUACUGACGCUGAGGCGCGAAAGCGUGGGGAGCGAACAGGAUUAGAUACCCUGGUAGUCCACGCUGUAAACGAUGAGGACUGGAUGUUGUCAGGGGAACCUGGCAGUAUCGAAGCUAACGCGAUAAGUCUUCCACCUGGGAAGUACGGCCGCAAGGUUGAA